rnacentral:rRNA from 1 species
AUCGAACGCUGGCGGCAGGCCUAACACAUGCAAGUCGAGCGGAGCGGCGGACGGGUGAGUAAUGCCUAGGAAUCUGCCUGGUAGUGGGGGAUAACGUCCGGAAACGGGCGCUAAUACCGCAUACUAUCAGAUCAGCCUAGGUCGGAGUAGCUAGUUGGUGGGGUAAAGGCUUACCAAGGCGACGAUCCGUAGCUGGUCCGAGAGGAUGAUCAGUCACACUGGAACUGAGACACGGUCCAGACUCCUACGGGAGGCAGCAGUGGGGAAUCUUGGACAAUGGGCGAAAGCCUGAUCCAGCAAUGCCGCGUGUGUGAAGAAGGUCUUCGGAUUGUAAAGCUCUUUAGGUUGGGAGGCGUUACCAACAGAAUAAGCACCGGCUAACUUCGUGCCAGCAGCCGCGGUAAUUC